CCUACGGGAGGCAGCAGUGGGGAAUAUUGCACAAUGGGGGAAACCCUGAUGCAGCGACGCCGCGUGAGUGAAGAAGUAAUUCGGUAUGUAAAGCCCUAUCAGCAGGGAAGAAAAUGAUGGUACGUGAGUAAGAAGCCCUGGCUAACUACGUGCCAGCAGCUGCGGUAAUACGUAGGGGGCAAGCGUUAAACGGAUUUACUGGGUGUAAAGGGAGCGUAGACGGGAGUGCAAGUCUGGAGUGAAAGGCGGGGGCUCAACCCCCGGACUGCUCUGGAAACUGGACGGCUGGAGUGCAGGAGAGGUAAGCGGAAUUCGUAGUGUAGCGGUGAAAUGCGUAGAUAUUAGGAAGAACACCAGUGGCGAAGGCAGCUUACUGGACUGUAACUGACGUUGAGGCUCGAAAGCGUGGGGAGCAAACAGGAUUAGAUACCCGAGUAGUC
rnacentral:rRNA from 1 species